UGCUGGCUGCAGCUUGGUACUUCACUCGUGCUGCUGGUGAGUCUUUAACACAACUGAAGAACAUUUAGUUUGCUCGCUGUCAUGCUGUGUUUCCAUCAUUUGUAAAACUAAAUGUUGUUAAAAUAAUGACAGUUGAUUGAAAUGUAAUAAUACACUCUGACCUGUGUGUGUUUUAACAGAGGGAGAGGUGAUCUAUGCCUGUCACAAUGACACAGCUACAAUGUCUUGUGAUGUUGGCAGUAAGAUAAAGCUGGAACACAUCCUGUAUAAGGUUGGAGUGGGGACGAGGUGUGGGGAGGGGAAACGCUACCCAGACGACGGACCCGACACCUUCUGCUCCUUCCCCUGGGCGGAGAUGGUGGUGGAGGAUCUCUGUGGUAACAGGAGGUCCUGUGAGGUCCCGGUCACUGAGCGGGUGUUUGGGGAAUAUCCCUGUAAGGAGGAGACCAGGUACCUGGAGGUGUCCUACACCUGCGCCACGCCACCACCUCCACCUCCACCUCCACCAGCGCCAACCAAACCUGACUGUACGUACACACACACACACACACACACACACACACACACACACACACACACACGCACUGGCACGGGUACACUCUCACUGAUAUUUCCUAGUUCUUCACUCUAACCUUAAAGAGACCCUGUGCUUCAGUGUCUUAUAUAGUGUGUGUCAGAACACUGAAGAAUGUAAACCUGUAAUAGUAGAGUCCCCAAAUACAAAUAUGAAGCUGAAAAUGGGCAUAAUAACUUUACAUAAUAAAAUACUUCAAUUACCAAAAAUAAAAGUACUCAUUGUGCAGAAAGUCCCAUUUCAGAAUCAUAUUAUAUUAUUGGAUUAUAAUGAUUGAUGUUGCAGCUGGUGAAGGUGGAACUCAUUUUAAUGACUUUACUGUAUAUGCUGCUGGGUAGCUUGUUAUUUCCCCUCAGGGAAUUAAUGAAGUUUUAUCUAAAAUAUUUCACUCUGAAAUGAAGAUUACAGUAACAGGAAAUGGAAAAACAGUUUAAUCUUUCUUAUAUGAUUUUCUUAUUUUAAUCCCUUUUAUAAUUUCCUUUAAUCAAUAUAAAUCUUAUUUAUGUGUCUUUUCAUAUCACCUAGUAUUUGUAUUAUAUUGUCUCAAUGUCGUUGUGUCUCAUGUAAAGCUCUUUAAAUUUCAUUCAACAGCUGCUGUACAAAUACAUUGUCCUGUCCUCUUUCUAAACUCUCCACACACAGCGCCCCCUGGUGGCAAAGCUCCAAACAUUCUCAUUUUUUAUACUCUGAUCAUUGAAAUGUGCUUUUGUUUUUUUCUUGUCUGCUCUUGUUUCUGUGCAGGUGAAGAAAAAUCAGCCGAUAAAGUCUGAUGCAUUCAAAACUUUAUUGUUCAUCACUGUGGACAGAGCGACUCAUCAGACUGAUCAGAGUUCAGAUCUUCCGUUGUCACAUCUGUCUGUUCUUCGUUGUAUUCAGUUUCUGAGUGUUUGAAUUCAUGUUUCUAAAUGCCUAAAAAAACAUGUGUGAGCUUAUUUACUCAAGAAGGAUUUAA
rnacentral:lncRNA from 15 species